ACGGGAGGCAGCAGUGGGGAAUAUUGGACAAUGGGGGAAACCCUGAUCCAGCGACGCCGCGUGAGUGAAGAAGUAUUUCGGUAUGUAAAGCUCUUUAAGCAGGAAAGAAAAUGACGGUACCUGCAGAAUAAGCCCCGGCUAACUACGUGCCAGCAGCCGCGGUAAUACGUAGGGGGCAAGCGUUGUCCGGAAUGAUUGGGCGUAAAGGGCGCGUAGGCGGCCGACUAAGUCUGGAGUGAAAGUCCUGCUUUCAAGGUGGGAACUGCUUUGGAUACUGGUUGGCUUGAGUGCAGGAGAGGUAAGUGGAAUUCCCAGUGUAGCGGUGAAAUGCGUAGAGAUUGGGAGGAACACCAGUGGCGAAGGCGACUUACUGGACUGUAACUGACGCUGAGGCGCGAAAGUGUGGGGAGCAAACAGGAUUAGAUACCCUGGUA
rnacentral:rRNA from 1 species